rnacentral:rRNA from 11 species
ACUAAAGGCCUAAAUACACUAAAGGUACCAGAUCUCAUCUGGUCUUGGAAGAUAAGCAGAGUCAGUCUGCUUAGUACUUGGAUAGGAACCCACCAAAAAUGCCAGGCUACUUUCAGAG